CAUUAGAUUGCUUAAAGCAAGCACUGGUCUCUUAAACCAUUUUAUAAUAAUUAGCGCCUAUUUCUAAUGG
rnacentral:tRNA from 1 species